GCCGGGAUGGCGGAGUGGAUAACGCGCAGGCCUUGAGAGCCUGUGGCCCUUAUGGGCCGCGUGGGUUCGAAUCCCACUCCCGGCG
rnacentral:tRNA from 1 species